rnacentral:rRNA from 1 species
GAUGAACGCUGGCGCCGUGCUUAACACAUGCAAGUCGAACGGAAAGGCCCAAGCUUGCUUGGGUACUCGAGUGGCGAACGGGUGAGUAACACGUGGGUGAUCUGCCCUGCACUUCGGGAUAAGCCUGGGAAACUGGGUCUAAUACCGGAUAGGACGAUGGUUUGGAUGCCAUUGUGGAAAGUUUUUUCGGUGUGGGAUGAGCUCGCGGCCUAUCAGCUUGUUGGUGGGGUAAUGGCCUACCAAGGCGUCGACGGGUAGCCGGCCUGAGAGGGUGUACGGCCACAUUGGGACUGAGAUACGGCCCAGACUCCUACGGGAGGCAGCAGUGGGGAAUAUUGCACAAUGGGCGCAAGCCUGAUGCAGCGACGCCGCGUGGGGGAUGACGGCCUUCGGGUUGUAAACUCCUUUCGCUAGGGACGAAGCGUUUUUGUGACGGUACCUGGAGAAGAAGCACCGGCUAACUACGUG